GGUUCUAGGUUUUAGAUUGUAAAUAAAAUCCCUUGUAAAUAAAACCCUCCUACCUUAAGUGUGUCUCUGUGGAUUAGUCUCACUGUUGGAAUACAAUAUUUGGAGGCCCCAGUGAGAUAAUCCAUCUGGAGGGCAUGUAGGACAUGUGGGUUAAGUGUUUGUGGGUAUUUAUCUUAGGUUAUUUUCAUUAGUUCUGUUUAUAUCCUUUAUACACCUCCAACUUAAUUCUUUUAUCCAGGAUGUGAAAGCAGUUUUCUAAAAUUCUUGCACGUGAAACUGUAACUAAUAAAGUUCCCCAGUUUUGCAGGAUCCUCCGGAAGUGGACCUCCUGGUGUAUUGUCCUCCUUGUUCUGUGCCAUCAGUACCUCCAAUGAUGAGGCCCCCUCAUACCAGAAGUGGUUCUUUGUACCAGCCUGAGGUGGUAAAAGGUGGUACAGUCCUCUUACUCCCCUUGAGACAGAUGUGAACCCAUGGUGGAAAUCAUGAGUUAGUUCCCUUUCUAGUGUAUGUUCCCUUUACAACUCGUGACCUAUGUAAUUGGAAAUGGCAAAAUCCGCCCUUUUCUGAAAAUCCCCAGGCGCUCAUCUCAUUAUUGGAUCUAUAUUCUUUACACACCAGCCCACCUGGGAUGAUUGUCAGCAACUUCUGUAUGUGCUUUUUACCUCAGAGGAAAGGGAGCACAUCUGGUGUAAUGCCUUAAAGGUGGUCCUUGGACCAGUUGGCUCCCCUACUGGUGACCCUGUCCUUUUGGAAUGAGUUUUUCCCCUGACUCACCCAAACUGGGACAACAACAGUGACUGAGGUAAGGAGGCAUUUUCCAGUUAUCGCCAGACUCUGUUAGCAGGGAUAUGGGCAGUGGCUAGGCAGCCAAUCAAUUUAUCUAAGGUUAGUGAGUUUGUACAGCUCCCCAAUGAGUCUCCUGCUGCUUUUCUGGAGCAGCUCUUGGAAGCCUAUAGGUCCUUUAUGCCUGAUCCUGAGGCCCCAGAAAAUCAAAGAGCCUUAAGUAUGGCCUUUGUUUCCCAGUCGGCCCCAGAUAUUAGGAAAAAGCUUCAAAGGUUAGGUUUUGAGGGAAAGGUGUUAUCUGAGUUGUUAGCAGUAGCCCAGCAAGUGUUUGAUAACAGAGAUACCCGGGA